UAUGCUAGGAUGUGAUGGGGAAGCCCUUCGGGGCGAAGUAGCUGAUUUCACACUGUCAAGAAAAGCUUCUAUCGAGUUUAAAGGCGCCCGUACCGUAAACCGACACAGGUGGGUGAGGAGAGUAUCCUAAGGCCAGCGAGAGAACUAUUGUUAAGGAACUCGGCAAAAUGACCCCGUAACUUAGGGAGAAGGGGUGCCUGUCUAUGACAGGCCGCAGAGAAUAGGCCCAAGCGACUGUUUACCAAAAACACAGGUUUCUGCUAAGUCGCAAGACGAUGUAUAGGAGCUGACGCCUGCCCGGUGCUGGAAGGUUAAGGGGAUCUGUUAGAGCAAUCGAAGCAGUGAACUUAAGCCCCAGUAAACGGCGGCCGUAACUAUAACGGUCCUAAGGUAGCGAAAUUCCUUGUCGGGUAAGUUCCGACCCGCACGAAAGGCGUAACGAUUUGGGCACUGUCUCAACAAUAGACUCGGUGAAAUUGUAAUCCCGGUGAAGAUGCCGGGUACCUGCGACAGGACGGAAAGACCCCAUGGAGCUUUACUGUAGCUUGACGUUGGGUCUUGGUACUACAUGUACAGGAUAGGUGGGAGACUAUGAAGCAUGGACGCCAGUCUGUGUGGAGUCAUCCUUGGGAUACCACCCUUGUAGUACUGGGAUCCUAACCAUAGGCCUUGAAUCAGGUCUUGGAACACCGUCAGGUGGGCAGUUUGACUGGGGCGGUCGCCUCCUAAAAAGUAACGGAGGCGCUCAAAGGUUUCCUCAGCACGGUCGGAAAUCGUGCGAAGAGUGUAAAGGCAAAAGGAAGCUUGAUUGCAAGACAUACAGGUCGGGCAAGGACGAAAGUCGGACUUAGUGAUCCGGUGGUACCGCAUGGAAGGGCCAUCGCUCAACGGAUAAAAGCUACCCUGGGGAUAACAGGCUUAUCUCCCCCAAGAGUCCACAUCGACGGGGAGGUUUGGCACCUCGAUGUCGGCUCAUCACAUCCUGGGGCUGUAGUAGGUCCCAAGGGUUGGGCUGUUCGCCCAUUAAAGUGGUACGCGAGCUGGGUCCAGAACGUCGUGAGACAGUUCGGUCCCUAUCCGUCGCAGGUGUAGGAAAUUUGAGAAGACCUGUCCUUAGUACGAGAGGACCGGGAUGGACGUACCUCUGGUGUACCAGUUGUUCUGCCAAGGGCAUGGCUGGGUAGCUAUGUACGGAAUGGAUAAGCGCUGAAAGCAUCUAAGCGCGAAGCCAACUUCAAGAUAAGAUUUCCCACCGUAAGGGUAAGACCCCAGGAAGACUACCUGGUUGAUAGGUCGAAGGUGU
rnacentral:rRNA from 1 species